AUUGAACGCUGGCGGCAUGCCUUACACAUGCAAGUCGAACGGCAGCACGGGAGCUUGCUCCUGGUGGCGAGUGGCGAACGGGUGAGUAAUACAUCGGAACGUACCCUGAAGUGGGGAUAACGUAGCGAAAGUUACGCUAAUACCGCAUAUUCUGUGAGCAGGAAAGAGGGGGAUCGCAAGACCUCUUGCUUUAGGAGCGGCCGAUGUCGGAUUAGCUAGUUGGUGAGGUAAAGGCUCACCAAGGCGACGAUCCGUAGCGGGUCUGAGAGGAUGAUCCGCCACACUGGGACUGAGACACGGCCCAGACUCCUACGGGAGGCAGCAGUGGGGAAUUUUGGACAAUGGGCGCAAGCCUGAUCCAGCCAUGCCGCGUGAGUGAAGAAGGCCUUCGG
rnacentral:rRNA from 1 species